UCUCCGUUGGUGAACCAGCGGAGGGAUCAUUACCGAGUUUACAACUCCCAAACCCCAUGUGAACCUUACCAAACGUUGCUUCAGCGGGAUGCCCCGGGCGCGGGCCGCAAGGCCUCAGCCCCGGAGCCAGGCGCCCGCCGGAGGCCCAAACCAAACUCUUGUUUUUGUAGAAUCUUCUGAGUGGCCUUUUAGGCAAAAAAUGAAUCAAAACUUUCAACAACGGAUCUCUUGGUUCUG
rnacentral:misc_RNA from 1 species